CCAUAGGAUCCAGCUGCUCCAGCAGGCUGCAAAUUCAUAUGACCUGGAGCCCGAUGAGCGAUUUGGGGCCUGGUUCCAGGCCAUGGAGCCCAUCAGUGUCCAUGAGAGCUACUGGGUCUCCUGCCGGCUGGAGCCCGCACACCAGAAGGCGAGCAAAAUGCGGCUCUUCAGGAGAAAGAGGAACCGGACAUCCUCCAGUUUAGGGCCGACCACCGUGCCCUUGGCGAUGAGCCAUAACCCUCUGGAGACCACAAGUUCAGCUCCUCCUGAGCAGCAGGGCCACUGGGACCCUCGGG